AUUGUAGCGCAGGUGGAGCAUUGCCGGUGUCCGGGUGCAGCACUCAACCACCAAAAUAGAAGGACGGCUUUGAGGGCAGGGCCGCAGGACUACUCCGUGACGUCGUGGAACGCACCUGCACGUUUUGCUACUCCACAGCAGUUCACCAACGCAUCUGACCAGUCCUCCGCCGUCGUUGUCCACGUGCACGCCUCCCAACUCUUCUAAACAGCAGCCGCUGCCGGGCCUAAAGCACAACUGCUGCUCACCCCGACCGCAUAGCCAUCAUGCUCCACACGGCCGUGGCGCCGUUGUUGCCGGCCUCGGUGGUGACGCACACCGUCUCUGGUUAUUUUCUCCCCGACUCCUCUGCGGCGCAGAAGGAGAAAGAGGUGGUGGCAAUUCGACAGAAUCACCUCACCUUGUAUCGCGUAAAGCGCACGCCUCAUGCCUGCGCUGCUGCAGGGCUGCCGCCAGCGGAGCAGCUCGGUCAGGUGGCGGAGGUUUCCCUGCACGCGCCACCGCUGGCGGCCGCAACAUGCCGCCCUCUCCGGACCACCUCCGACGUCUUGGUACUUCUUUUCGAUGACUUCCACGUAUCCUUCCUGCAGUACAACCCGGUCACAGUUCAGUUCGACACGGUGGCUCUCGUGCAGUUAGAUGACCGUCAGCUGUGCCUCGACCGGUGCCCGCUCAGCGCGAUGCUGCGGGUGGACGAGACAGGGACGUACGUUGCCGUCCUAGCCAAGCGGAGCGACCUCUUCUUCUUCCCGGUGUUGGAGAUGAUAGAUCAGCAGGCGAUGGCACAGGUGCAGGCGGAAAAUGCGGCCGCGAACGCUUCGAACUCGGAUAUGCACUCCGCUGCCUUCGCGGGCAACGAGGAGGCUGCUGUGACGAAGACCUCUGGUACGGCGACGGCAGCAGCCCCGAAGCCAACAGUGGCACUCAAUGCUUGGGGAGACGAGGACGAGGACGACGACUACGACGAAGCGCCGAACCCGCGCAAGCAGCUGGAGGCCGCGAAGAGCGAGCAGUCCGUUUCCGAAAAAACAAUGGCAGGGGACGAUAGCGCUGUGGCGUUCGGAGCAGCCUCCGCGGGGCCUGGAACAGCGUCGUCGCAGAAGGUGACGCAGGGCGGUGUCACCUCGUUGUUGCUGCGUGUUGGUACAGUGACGCACUGGCGCCUGCAAGAUGUGAAGACCGCGCUGCGCAACAUCCGCGACGUCCAGUUCGUCGAGUCGGCUGGCGAGCCCUUGCUGGCGUUUCUGUUUGAGAAGCAGCCGACGUGGGCAGGGCGAGUGAAGCUGCUGGAGUGGCGCAGCAAGACGGUAGAGUCGCAUAUGCUAACCUGCUCGAUCGAGUGGAUGAAAGUGACACUGGCGAACUCCACGGCGCCGCACAUGCUCUCUCUCAGCGAGGUGGAUGGGCUGCCGUACGACGUGACGAGCAUGACGCCGCUUCCGGCCUUCCAGGAUGUACCGUCCGCCGUGUUUUGCGUGAGUCGCAACAUGAUGGUGCACGUGAGCACAAAGAGCGGCUACGGUGUGUACGUGAACGCUACCGGUGAGGAGCAGGCGCGCAGUUUGAAGUCUUCAGCGGUGAGUUUGGAAGCGGUGCAGUGGCGUAGCGCGUCGCAGGCACUGUCUACCGACCUUGUGAAGGUGAACCUGAACUUUGCGAACGCCACGUCCGUGCUCGUCUCGCAGUCGGCGACGACGCAGAGAGCGCCGGUGGUGGCUGCUGGUGCUGCUGCGGCUGCAGAUGGUCACAUCCAACGGCUGCUGGUCGUAACAGAGGAAGAGGGGACCGUCGUGGACGUGCACUUGCAGAGCCACGGCUACACGGUGGGUAGCAUCAGUGCGGAAAUCGUGAUGACCGGCUGCUUCGGCUCCUCGUACGCUUCCAUCGACCCCACAAGGUUCUUUCUCGGCGCCCUGAACGGUGACUCUCGUUUCAUCGUCAGCACCCCGCGCGACCCAUGCAAAGUGCUGCAGAAGUUUCUCGGCAUCGGACCCGUGCGGGACGUCGACAUUGUGGACACCACCACCGCCGCCGCGGAGACGCAGGAGGACACACUCGAUCCGUCCAUUGAAGCCUCCCCCUACGCAGACCUCUUCCGCAGCGUGGAGCUCGAAGCGGUGCCGGCCAUGACGGCGGCGCAGCGAAAGGCGGUGAUGGACAUUGCUCUGUGCUCCGGCAGCGGCUCGGCGGGAAGUCUCUCCAUCUUGCGGCGAUCAAUCCGGAGCCGUGUGGUGCGGCAGGAGGAGCUGAACGCCAUCUCUGUCUUCUUUUUGGAGCCCACCAACGCCGAUGCCCGCAAGCGACCGCGAGACAUCGGCAACGAGGGAGGCAGGGGAGAUGCGCCCCCCGCGUCGACGGUCGGCGGCGGCGCCGCGCCGCACCCACACCUACUCAUCAGCGGCUCGAACUUUUCCAUUCUCUUUGCGGUGCGCAGCGACUCGGUGCAGCAGGUUCGCGGGGCUGCUCUCAGUAUGGCGGCUCGCACCGUGUACGCCGUGCAUCUGGACUGGAUGCCAGGUCUGCUGCAGGUAACGGAGACGGAGCUGCGACUUCUGUCCGCCGACGGCAAGCGCCGACUGUCAAGCACCGAGUUCCUCACGCUACCGGCGAUACAGCGAGCCAGCAGCCAGGGCGCCGCGGCAAACGUGGCCCUCUCUGCCCUGUUGGUCGCGGAAAUGCGCUGCGUCCUUGUCCGCUUCACAGAUGGACAGCUGCUUUCGUUCCGCCUGGAGGAUGCCAAGGCGAUGUCAAUGGCGACCCUGCUCCUAGAGAGAGUGACGGCCGUCGCGUGGUGGGGGUCGGCCGCGAGGCACCUGCAGCAACGUCAGCACGCGCUGGUGGUUGUGCAAAACAUGGACCUGGUUUUCUACACGCUGCAGUCGCCGCAAGCGGUGCAGCAGGCGUCGAGUUUCCCGAACUUUGCUCUCAUCCCGCCCUUUGCGAUGGAGGGGGUCGAGACGCCAGUGGUGAAGCUGCGUGAGCGGCUGAAAGCAGAGCCGCUGCCGACUGUCACGCAUCUCGCCGUCUUUGAUCAGCACGAGGACCCCGCCGCGUCAGCUGCGCCGACGGAGGCGACUCUCGUGAUGAUUCUGUCAUCCGGGGAGCUAGUGACGUACCGGGUUGUCCCUGCUGAUGCCAACGGUCCACGGAGGUGCGUGAAGGUGAUUUACCACAUCCUUGAUGUCGCGCCGGAGGUGGAUGUGGUGGAGUCGAUCGAGGCUCGCAAGAAGCGUCUGCAGGAAGAGCGGGCGCACCUGGCGAGUGUCACGCAGCAGAUGCGCCACUGCAGCGAGCGGCUGGUGCCAUUCCGUGGCCUCCAGGACCGGCACAAAGGCAUCUACGUCUGCGGCCAGACGCCGGUGUUCCUCGUGUACCAUGCUGCCACGAAUCAGCUUGUCUGCACCCGGCAUCACGCCACGAACGCGGUGCGCGGCUUCGCGCCGUUCCACUCGCGGCAUGUGCAUGGCGGUUUCGUCUACUGCGGCGAGGGCUUCGUGCACUUUGCGACGAUGCAGCCCUUCGGCGAGCUGCUUGGCAGCAGCGGGUGGUGGCUUGAGCGGGUGCGGCUUGGGUGCACGCCCCACCAGGUCAUUUACUCCCCCGCGGCGCACGGGUGCUUUGUCGUGGCGUCGCGGCCGCAGCCGUUUUCCCCGAAGAGGGCGCCCUUCGACGUGCAGCUGCGCAUGGUCGAGGACGAGGAGGGCAAUCGCGUGCCGCACGUCAUAGAGCCCGUCUCGCUGCCGCCCCUGUCCGCCACUUCCGGCUCACCCGUGCCAACGAAUGAGCGCUAUGAGGUGCAGUUCUUCUCGACGCUGGAUUGGCAGUGCAUGGGUCGCCUUGUGCUGGACGUAAAUGAGAAGGUGCUCUCCGCGACGCUGAUGCAGGUGACCCGUGACACAACUAUGGACGCGGCGAACCGGUCUACGACGGCGCCGGUGUGCGCACUGGCAACGGCGUACCCGCUGGGCGAGGAUGUCACGACCCGCGGACGCAUCUUGCUGCUGACGACGUCGCAGCAGGGUGGCCAAGGGAUGCAGCAGCUGCGCACCUUACACGAGGAGCCAAUGAAGGGCCCCGUCACCGCCAUCACGAGGGUCGGCGAAGAUUGCGUCGCGGUUGCCGUGGGCGGCACCGUACGUGUGUAUCGCUACGACACGAACAAGAGCACCAUGGAGACCAUGGCAAUCUUGUACGCCGGGGCCUACGUAACGUGCUUGCAAGCAUUUCGCAACUACCUCGUCAUCGGGGACUUGUUCAACUCCGUCCUCUUCGCCCGCUACAGCGAAGAAAUCCACACCAUCACGAUUCUUGGGCGGGACACAAAUGCCAUCUCGGUCGUUUCGAAUGACAUGCUGUACCACGACACUCGCUUCGGCCUCCUCGUCACGGACGACGCGCGCAAUCUCGUGUGCAUGAGCUACAAGCCGCGCGUACUGGAGGAGCCCGGCAAGCCGCCGAAGAUACUGGAGUCGCUUCUGACCGUCACUGGCGAGUACCGACUGGCGGGCGGCGUGCUACUCAAGAUGAUGCGGCUGCGUGCCGCCUCGACGCGCAACAGCAGCGUCGCUAUCUACGUCACUAACAUGGGUGAGAUCGGCUACCUGGUACCGCUCGGCGAUCAGACGAGUCGAACUGGGCAAUGGGUAGGGCGCCGCUUGCAGAGCGAGGUGGCCCACGCUGGCGGCCUGCCGCCGCGCAUGUUCCUUGGCUUUCCACAGGACGAUCCGCUGCGCUCCCUCAAAGGUGAAGAGUGGAUGCUGCAUGUCCCCCUGUUGGAGCAGUUGUACCGCCAAGACCUGCGCACGCGCAAGCUGGUUGCUUCAGCAGCCCAAACGCAGCUAGAGCGCGUCAUGAACGUCGGCGCCACCGUCUCGGCGGAGCUCGGGCACAUUUGAGGAAACGAACGCACAAGAAGGGCGCUGCGUGCGUGGCGCUAGCGCAGAGGGUUGUGUGUCUGCGUGUGUGUAAUGGGCCGUUUUUUUUUUAUGUUCUUGUUAACUGUCACCACAAAUCGGUGUUAGGGAGGUGCGCGGUGGUGUUGGUCCCCGAGCGUGAAUGGCAAAGGAGAAGCCCAUCUGGCAAGAGGACCAAUCCAUGCCAACUCAG
rnacentral:misc_RNA from 1 species